rfam:Triticum aestivum genome assembly, contig: Triticum_aestivum_CS42_TGACv1_scaffold_321088_4BL
GUACUACUCCCUCCGUUCCAAAAUUCUUGUCUUGGAUUUGUCUACAUAUGGAUGUAUCUAUUCACAUUUUAGUGUUAGAUACAUCCGUAUCUAGAUAAAUCUAGAAAAGAAUUUUGGGACGGAGGGAGUAGUUC